UGAGGAAUAUUGGACAAUGGGUGGAAGCCUGAUCCAGCCAUCCCGCGUGAAGGAUGACGGUCCUAUGGAUUGUAAACUUCUUUUGUACAGGGAUAAACCUGCCCUCGUGAGGGCAGCUGAAGGUACUGUACGAAUAAGCACCGGCUAACUCCGUGCCAGCAGCCGCGGUACUACGGAGGGUGCGAGCGUUAUCCGGAUUUGUUGGGUUUAAAGGGUCCGUAGGCGGGCCUGUAAGUCAGUGGUUAAAUCUCAUAGCUUAACUAUGAAACUGCCAUUGAUACUGCAGGCCUUGAGUAAAUUUGAAGUGGCUGGAAUAAGUAGUGUAGCGGUGAAAUGCAUAGAUAUUACUUAGAACACCGAUUGCGAAGGCAGGUCACUAAGAU
rnacentral:rRNA from 1 species